rnacentral:lncRNA from 1 species
GUUCAUCUACUAUUUCAUAUAUCUCCGCGAGAAUCUUGUUGUUGCUCAAGAUGUCAGCCUCCAAUUCAAAAGUCCUGGCCAUCAGCUUGUCGAUGAGGGUGUACAUCUCUUGCUGGAAUAUCUCUAGCUUCUCCCUUAAAGGCAUCUCCUCCUCUUCGGAGGCUGCCUCUUCCCCAUUAUCGCCUCUUGGAUCUCUGGAUGCCAUUUUACAAUAAUUUGA